UUAGAGUUUGAUCAUGGCUCAGGACGAACGCUGGCGGCGUGCCUAACACAUGCAAGUCGAACGGGGUAGAGAGCUUCGGUUUUCUACUUAGUGGCGAACGGGUGAGUAACGCGUGAGAAACCUGCCUUUCAGUGGGGGACAACAGUUGGAAACGACUGCUAAUACCGCAUAAUGUUACCGGGGGGCAUCCCUUGGUAACCAAAGCUUAAUGUGCUGAAAGAUGGUCUCGCGUCUGAUUAGCUAGAUGGCGGGGUAACGGCCCACCAUGGCGACGAUCAGUAGCCGGUCUGAGAGGAUGAACGGCCACAUUGGGACUGAGAUACGGCCCAGACUCCUACGGGAGGCAGCAGUGGGGAAUAUUGGGCAAUGGGCGAAAGCCUGACCCAGCAACGCCGCGUGAAGGAAGAAGGCCUUCGGGUUGUAAACUUCUUUUACCAGGGACGAAGAACGUGACGGUACCUGGAGAAAAAGCAACGGCUAACUACGUGCCAGCAGCCGCGGUAAUACGUAGGUUGCAAGCGUUGUCCGGAUUUACUGGGUGUAAAGGGCGAGUAGGCGGAGAUGCAAGUUGGGAGUGAAAUCCCGGGGCUCAACCCCGGAACUGCUUUCAAAACUGCAUCCCUUGAGUAUCGGAGAGGCAAGCGGAAUUCCUAGUGUAGCGGUGAAAUGCGUAGAUAUUAGGAGGAACACCAGUGGCGAAGGCGGCUUGCUGGACAUUAACUGACGCUGAGGAGCGAAAGCGUGGGGAGCAAACAGGAUUAGAUACCCUGGUAGUCCACGCCGUAAACGAUGGAUACUAGGUGUGGGAGGUCUGACCCCUUCCGUGCCGGAGUAAACACAAUAAGUAUCCCACCUGGGGAGUACGGCCGCAAGGUUGAAACUUAAAGGAAUUGACGGGGGCCCGCACAAGCAGCGGAGCAUGUGGUUUAAUUCGACGCAACGCGAAGAACCUUACCAGGUCUUGACAUCGAUGUAAAGCAUGUAGAGAUACAUGUGACUCUUCGGAGGACAGAAGACAGGUGGUGCAUGGUUGUCGUCAGCUCGUGUCGUGAGAUGUUGGGUUAAGUCCCGCAACGAGCGCAACCCCUAUGAUCAGUUACUAACGGGUAAAGCCGAGGACUCUGAUAAGACUGCCGGGGACAACUCGGAGGAAGGUGGGGACGACGUCAAAUCAGCAUGCCCCUUAUGACCUGGGCUACACACGUGCUACAAUGGUGACAACAAAGAGGUGCAAAGCGGUGACGCUGAGCGGAUCUCAAAAAAGUCAUCUCAGUUCGGACUGUGGGCUGCAACCCGCCCACACGAAGUUGGAGUUGCUAGUAAUCGCGGAUCAGAAUGCCGCGGUGAAUACGUUCCCGGGCCUUGUACACACCGCCCGUCACACCAUGGGAGUUGAGAGCACCCGAAGUCGGUGAGGCAACCGCAAGGAGCCAGCCGCCGAAGGUGAGAUCGAUGACUGGGGUGAAGUCGUAACAAGGUAACC
rnacentral:rRNA from 1 species